CUAUGUAUAUGCCCUUCGGCUCUGAUUCUAUUUCUAUUUUCUGCCGAAUAUAUUUAAUUAACCAAACCCUAUCGAGCGGUGUGUGUCAGUUUUUUCGCCGGUGCUCCGACGCUGCAUCGCCGAUAUCUUCGUCCCUGAAGGUUGAGAUGGCAGGAAGAAAUCGAGUUGCUCGUGAAGCUUUUGAUCACCGUCGUGGUUAUCCCCCAGAAGGACCUGUUGCUCGAGGUCCUUUGCCCCAUCCCAUUCCUCCUCACCCUGCCGUAUUAGAGGAAGAACUUGAAAUUCGGCAUGUCGAGAUUCGUAGACUUAUAGGAGAGAAUCGGAGAUUGGUUGAGGAUCGAAUUGCUUUGGAGCGAGAGUUGACUGCUGCAAAGGAAGAGUUGCGACGCAUGAAUAUUGCAGUUGCUGAUAUGCGUGCCGACCAAGAACUCCAAUCCAGGGAGCUUAUUGACCGAGUUAUGAAGUUGGAAGCUGAGCUUCGUGCAAAUGAACCAGUUAAAAAUGAGGUUGCUCACCUCCGAGCCGAGGUUCAAAGGCUGAAUGCCAUCAGGCAAGACCUAUCUGGCCAAGUUCAGACAUUUUCUCAAGACCUUGCAAAGUUGAGGGCUGAUAACCAGAGGAUUCCUGCUUUGAAGAAUGAGAAUGAUGGGUUACAUCAAGAACUUCUGCGAACCAGAGCUGCCAUUGACUAUGAAAAGAAUGCAAAUAUUGAAUUAUUGGAGCAGAGACAAUCAAUGGAGAAAAACAUGAUUAAUAUGGCUCGUGAAGUUGAGAAGCUUCGUUCUGAGAUUACUAAUUUUGGUGCUAGGGCUUGGAAUGCAGGUGGUCCUUAUGGCGGGGUGGCAUUUAGCAAUCCGGAUGCCAAUUUUCCUAUUCCUUAUGCAAGUGGAUAUGGAGCUCGUCAGGGUGCUGGAGAUAAGGGCCCAAACUAUGGUUCUAGUUCUACUUCCUGGGGAAGCCAUGAAAAAUCGCGGAUGGGUCGUCGCUGAGAUGUGGAUGGAUAUGAGGACACUUCAAAAGUUCUAUUCAUCACUUGCCUGAUGGAGCAAAAGGAUCAAGUGUGGUUUCUUACAUGAGAUCCUUUGUGCUUUGGCAUGGUCCUGGAACAACAGAAAAGGAUGACGGUGGGCUGCUGUAUGAUGAUGGCAAACUUCACUUCAUAGGCAAAAACCCUCCAGUUUUGUAGGCUUGGAUCGGGUACUUCUAACAGUAUCAUCUUCCGGGGGAUAAGGUAAGGUAAGUUCAUCAGGUAUGUCUUUCUCCCGAGGAUAUCUGAUUCAUGUCAUUAUUUCCGGCACACUUUGAAUGCAUGAUAGGCGCGAAGCUCCUGGUAAUAGGUCCAGUAUCAAUUAUGCUAAUGACCAUAAUUAUUGUGCCUAUAGUUAUGAUAAACUACAGAAUCCGGCUGCUUUUGUCAUAUUUUAAAUCCAUAGUCAACCCUGAGAAUAAAUAUCCUAUCACAUGAAACCUUAACAAAACCUUUUUACUUCACUUAUAUAGGACCGGUUCUUAUAAUUUGGAUUAUAGCACCGCCACUAAACUUAAAUUAGAUUUAGAGUUUGCUAUACACCAAAAGAUUUGUUUUGAAUCCAAAAUCCACCUUUCAAAGCACUCUCAUGCUUUUUAUUACGCAUUUUUAAAUUGCAUCCAAACCCAAUUUGAUUACUUUUACCCUCUCAAUGACUUAUUUCGGUUGUUUACAUUUUUGUAUCAUUACUGUUGUGUUACUUUGAUUACCCAUAUAUAUCCUUAGAAUACUGCACUUGCAUCACACCAUAUAGGUGCUCUUAUUGUUACACCUGGAAGAAAAUAGCUAUGGUUGUAUUCAAAAUUCUAGGUCAAGUGUUUCCUUUUUCUUUUCGAUUUUCAUGAGCUUUUUAUUGUUUAAAUACAUUACCUGUUCUUCCUUCUUCAUGAAGUGGUGACAUUGUGAUGGAAGGGUGUACGUAUAGCCAUAAUGUGUGUAUCUAUAUAUAUUGAUAGACAUGAUCCUGUACCUGUUUUAAGUUC